GUAGUACUCCCUCCGUUCUUAAUAUUUUGUCAUAGAUUUGCCUAGAUACGGAUGUAUCUAAUACUAAAAUGUGACUUGAUACAUCCGUAUUUAGACAAAUCUAAGACAAGAAUUUUGGGAUGGAGGGAGUACUAU
rfam:Triticum aestivum genome assembly, contig: Triticum_aestivum_CS42_TGACv1_scaffold_404409_5BL